rnacentral:rRNA from 1 species
AGAGUUUGAUCAUGGCUCAGAAUCAACGCUGGCGGCGCGCCUAACACAUGCAAGUCGAACGAGAAAGUGGAGCAAUCCAUGAGUACAGUGGCGUACGGGUGAGUAACACGUGGGUAAUCUACCUUUUAGUGAGGAAUAACCGAGGGAAACUUUGGCUAAUACCGCAUAAGUCCGAGAGGAGAAAGUCGAAAGACGCUGAAAGAGGAGCCCGCGGCCGAUUAGCUAGUUGGUAGGGUAAGAGCCUACCAAGGCAGAGAUCGGUAGCCGGCCUGAGAGGGCACACGGCCACACUGGCACUGAAACACGGGCCAGACUCCUACGGGAGGCAGCAGUGGGGAAUCUUGCACAAUGGGGGAAACCCUGAUGCAGCGACGCCGCGUGAGCGAUGAAGCCCUUCGGGGUGUAAAGCUCUUUCGUCAGGGAAGAUAGUGACGGUACCUGGAGAAGCAGCUGCGGCUAACUACGUGCCAGCAGCCGCGGUAAUACGUAGGCAGCAAGCGUUGUUCGGAGUUACUGGGCGUAAAGGGUGUGUAGGCGGUUCCUUAAGUUUGCUGUGAAAUCUCCCGGCUUAACCGGGAGGGUGCGGUGAAUACUGAGGGACUAGAGUACGGGAGAGGAAAGUGGAAUUCCUGGUGUAGCGGUGAAAUGCGUAGAUAUCAGGAGGAACCCGGUGGUGUAGACGGCUUUCUGGACCGUAACUGACGCUGAGACACGAAAGCGUGGGUAGCAAACAGGAUUAGAUACCCUAGUAGUCC